UCAGUGGUAGGGUUUUAAACGCAGCAGCAUCCUCUUCUCUCUCUCUCUUUUGACACCAAAUUAACGCAGCUGUCCUCGGGCCUGAGCAACAAAACACAAUAAUAUCCCUAAGUGUCAUUCCAAAUAUAUACUGACAACAAUCAGAAAUCACUUCAUAAAUACAGCUACUUUGUUACUAAAUAAGUGCCUUUGACAGGAUUGUGUUCUUACCUGUUUAAUGUGAUUUCUGUUUCCGAACAUCACUGGUCAGCUGCUCCACAUCGGGCAUCUUGACGCAGGACUGCAAGCUCUCAUCUGUGAGGCGGUGCGAUAUUUUGAUUUGAUGGAGUUCAUG